rnacentral:lncRNA from 1 species
AUGGAACCUGGCUAUGGUGGUGGCGACGUGCGGGGCAGGCCUGUAGCUCCCAGACGCCCCCUUCCUGACCCAGCCCAUCCCUGUUGGGAGGCAGCCUCCUCUUUCAUUGGGAGCCCGGCGGGGGCAGCCCAGGAGACAGGAGCACGGGAGGUUCAAAGAGGGACGUGCCCUCCGCAGCACACUCCCUGGAUGGCCCGGCUCCAGCGGGUGUGUGCCCAGCUGGUUGUUCUGUCUUUUGUGUUGAACGGAGCUCUGUUUUCUGAGGGGGUGGGGAAUUACUGGAAGGCUUUGUGCGAGAGCGGACAGAGGAGGGCUCUCCCAGGUUGGCCCAGCUCAGGCUGCAGAGACCCUGAGCUCCUGACCAAGCCUGCAACCCUGAAUCCAUCCUGCACCCAGCAUCUCGGCUCUGCCAGAUGA